UUUCCGUAGGUGAACCUGCGGAAGGAUCAUUAUUGAAUGAAUUUAGGAGUUGGUUUGAUGCUGGCCGACAACCCCAAGGGCAUUGUGCACGCCUUCUCCUUCAUCCACACACACCUGUGCACUUGUGAGACGGAGGAUUAAUUUCCUCCGUCUACUAAUCACACAAACUCAUUGUAAUUGAACUGAAUGUAAUUGAUGUAACACAUCAUUUGAACUAAGUUUCAACAACGGAUCUCUUGGCUCUC
rnacentral:misc_RNA from 1 species